GGAGUUUUCUCCCUAGCGAUUCUUCAUCACUUCCUAUCUCUAUUUUAAGUAAAAAGAUAUUCUCUUCAAUAUGAUAUUCUGGCAGAAAAUUAGGGUCAUUCAGAGAAGAUUUGGUAUGCAAUUUUGGAAAUAUUUCAGCAUCGGCGUAGGAUCAAAAUCUGACGCAAACAAGAAUAUCUCGGCAAGGAAUGGAAGAAGAACAUCUAGCGGUAGCAAUCUCGUUCAAUAUUUUUUUCUAUUUGAACCCUAAGAAUUUCAUCUUGGGCGGAAUGAAAUCAAAAGAAAUUCCUUUUGGGCGGGAUUAUUCCCGCUUGAUGCUUUGGAACAACUAUAAGUUCAACCCUAAAAUCAAUUCAGAGAUGCGAAGAGAUAUAUCUUUUUUGGGGGGGAUUAUUAGUUCAGAGAUCAAAAACAUCCAAGACUACACAACACAAACUUCUAGCAAUAUGUAGCUUGAAAUUCGAUAACAGCAGUUGCCUAUUUGAAAUGGAGGAGUUGUUAUUAUUUGGCAUGACAGGAGAAAGACUGAUUUGAUUUUAAAGCACGAGUACCCAACUUUUUGUCUAGAAACAAAUGGGAUACAGUGAAUGAUGUUAUCUCCCUGGAUGGCAACUAGUCUGAAUAGUGAGGAAGUUGCGGAUUUUUUACAACAACUUGGAUGACUCCGCUUCUUCUCAAUGCAUCGAUAGUUUGCAUAGUUCUAGAGAUGUUCCCCCAAAAGUUGAAUUGUUGGGCAGAGUUUAAGAAUUCUGUGCGACUCUAACAAUGCUGCAGGCUAAAGGAAUUAAUGUUCCCUAUAAUUGAGGGUAUUGGGAUCCCAGCGGCACCUUCGUCCUUUGGUCUUUGUUGUUUGAGGAACUUCAGGAAAAAGGAUGUUGCACUUGCAAGUUACUGAUGGAUGGCCACUACGGCUGCAUGAUUGAGGAAAUCUUUGAUCCAAGUGCGAUGUUGUGCGAUAGAGAUGAUGAUGUUGUACUUGGUGAGUUUAUCAAGUCGCCCAAGACCUAUAUGACUACUGUAGGAGAGCGAUCAAGUUAGAGUUGCAAUGACAGCAGAUUGAUUACUUUUUUAAUUUUCAUGAUGUAACUUGGAAUUGGAGUUGUUAGGAUAUGUCUUCUGAUUUAUGUUCGAAUAUUUUGUUUUCUUUUAGAAAAUAAUUAUAAAUUUAAUU